rnacentral:lncRNA from 10 species
CUCCCAAAGGCACAGCGCCUAAGUUCUCCCCUGCCAAGCUCACAGCCUUCUCCUUGGCAGGCUGCCCUUUCUCCUGCUGGACCAAACCAAGGAGCACGGUGACCCAGGGACACCACACUCGGUGUCAGCCUCUGAGGCCAUGGAGCCACGCAGACCCAGCACAGGAUUAGAAACAGACCUUCCCGGGAGGCAGAGAGCCAGGCCUCCUGGUUUAUAGCAUGACAAGGCAGCACUCAGGAGGACGCAUCAAUCCUUCUCCAUGUCAGCACCUGUGACUGUGACCACUGGUGAGGUGGACAUGCUUCUUUUUCCAUUUUACAGAUGAGGAAACUGAGGCCAAGGGAGGGUCAGCAGCCUGCCCUGGGCUGACUGGUGAUGCAGCGAGGGUGGGGUGUGGGAGGGUGGCGGCGGCCCUUGCAGUCCCUGGGAACCUGCACCUCUUCCUGGGCGCUGUUCCCCUCUCUCUCCCAGGACCCUUGGGCCUGGCGUUUCUUCACCUGCGACCAUCCAGGAGCUGGACCUGCCCUAGGGCGUCAGUUUCCAGGGAAGCCUCUGGCCUGUGUGUGAGCCUCCCCACCUGCCCGGCCACGGCCUCCACAGGCGCCCUGCGCAGCCCCGCCCCUCCUGGGGCAAAGGCUUUGCGAAGACUUUCUUCUCUGGCUCAUCCCUUUAAGGAGGCAUAAAAACGAACCCCGGGCCUCACAGGUCCGGAACAGAAAUUCCAUUUCCCUUUUAAAUACUUGAACAUUUCAAAACAUCUGGAGGACGCGAUGCUUUUCCUUCCAAGCAUCUCCGUGGAGUUUU